AAGAAGACUUACUGCAAGAACAAGCAAUGCAAGAAGCACACUCUGCACAAAGUGACCCAGUACAAGAAGGGUAAGGACAGUCUUUGUGUUCAAGGGAAACGCCGGUAUGAUCGCAAACAGUCUGGUUAUGGUGGCCAAACUAAGCCUGUUUUCCACAAGAAGGCGAAAACAACCAAGAAGAUUGUGCUGAAGCUGCAGUGCCAGUCUUGCAAGCAUGUCUCGCAGCACCCAAUCAAGAGGUGCAAG
rnacentral:misc_RNA from 1 species